rnacentral:rRNA from 1 species
AUUGAACGCUGGCGGCAGGCCUAACACAUGCAAGUCGAGCGGCAGCGGGAAAGUAGCUUGCUACUUUUGCCGGCGAGCGGCGGACGGGUGAGUAAUGCCUGGGAAAUUGCCCAGUCGAGGGGGAUAACAGUUGGAAACGACUGCUAAUACCGCAUACGCCCUACGGGGGAAAGCAGGGGACCUUCGGGCCUUGCGCGAUUGGAUAUGCCCAGGUGGGAUUAGCUAGUUGGUGAGGUAAUGGCUCACCAAGGCGACGAUCCCUAGCUGGUCUGAGAGGAUGAUCAGCCACACUGGAACUGAGACACGGUCCAGACUCCUACGGGAGGAAGCAGUGGGGAAUAUUGCACAAUGGGGGAAACCCUGAUGCAGCCAUGCCGCGUGUGUGAAGAAGGCCUUCGGGUUGUAAAGCACUUUCAGCGAGGAGGAAAGGUUGAUGCCUAAUACGUAUCAACUGUGACGUUACUCGCAGAAGAAGCCCCGGCUAACUUCGUGCCAGCCGCCGCCGUAAGAC